ensembl:lncRNA MFF-DT MFF divergent transcript
GUGGUCAUGUGACGCGGAAAAGGGCGGACGCGUGGCCCACGCACUGGAACGGCUCCACGUCCUGCAGACACAUUCUGGGACUGCACCUUAUGAGUGCUGCUCACUCUGUUUCCUGCAGAAGACAUACAGAGCCGUUCGCAUAGAGUAGGGCCAUGAUUUUGAUUCAGCAAUUCUUCAAACCACUGAUGCUGGUUGACCAUUUGACUUUGUUUUUGAAGUAUUUUUUACAUACAGUGUACAGAACAUUUCCGCUGGAUAUUUGGAUACUGAACAGGAGUAACAAGAGGAACAGCUCCUACCUCCCCCCUGCCCCUUCCCUCACAAGCCUGUGAGUCAGGGCAGGGGCAGCCACUGAAAGUAGCAGAGGCCUUCAUAAAGGAGAACACUUCUCCAUGUUGCCAUCAUGUGAAGAAGGACAUGUUUGCUUCUGCUUCUGCCACGAGUGUUGAAGGCAAUGGUGAUGAAAGUAAAUAUUUAAAAACACUACCAUAGCUGUCCCAAAUUUCAGAAAAACAAGGUACCACUGGAACCAUUUAAUUUUGUUGGAACACAGAAUGACCAUCUUGUGAUCAGUUUUCUGCAUCUUUAAAAUACCUGGAAGGUCAUCUUUAAAUAGUACAAUCUGAUAAAAGUUUAAUACUUAGUGUAGACUUAUAUGAAUACUUCUACAUUCAUACAUUUUUGUAUACUUAUACAUUUUCAUACUCAAUUAAUGCUUAAUUCAAAAAAUAUCUGAGUACCUGCAGUGUUCCCCAUGCUACAUACUGGGCUUAAACAGCCAAAAAGACACAGUCUUUGACCUCAAAAUACUUUGAUUCUUGUAAGAAAAACUGACAAAGACAAAGAGAAGGCAAUGUGAAAACUUCUACAGUUGGGAUAACCUUGGAGGUUACAGGAUGUGGACUCACUGAAAGCUUUCUGCUGGACUUGAACUUGAAGCUGAAGUCUGAAGGACAGAUGGGUGUUGCUUAGCGAAGGGAAAGUAGGAAGCAAAGACCCCUGGACAGAGUGUAGCAGGCACAGAGGGAGCAUGACACCUUCGGGAGAGAGCCGCAAGCACCUGGGCCCAGAUCCCAGCUUUAGCUUCAUUAGCCCUGUGAACUCUGUAUGUCAGCCUUGACAUAGAAAAAAAGAGGAUACUAAACCUCCAUCUUAAAAGAGACUUGGAAGAAGCUGGGAUUAUAGGCACACCACCACACCUGGCCCCAGAAAAGGGAAUCCUUGACCUGCAAGAAUCGAGGAAUAUUGUUUCUGACAUGCUCAGUGGACCUACUGCUGGUGUUCUUAACCAUUUCCUUCCUAAGUGGAACUUCUUUUGAGGUUAGUAGAAGCUGCAAACAGAAUUAUAUGGAAUUGAAUAUAAGAAAAUAUACAGUGAAGAGUGCUAAGAAUUCCUCUGAAAUGUAAUGAAAAGGUAGAUUUCAUUUAGCAUUCAGUAUAUUUAUCUUGAAGGAAAAAAGGUGGAAAUAUCAAAGGUUUGAAAAAAAAAAAACCUCUUUGCUUUUUCAUAUGCUAGAUGGAUCAAUUACUUUGUUGACUUAUUUAACAAGAGUCUUGUGGUUAAGCAAUAUAUAUAAAAUCACAAAAGUAUUAUAUUAAUAAUAUAACAUAAUAAUGUCCACCAUGAAAUCUGUAAUGAUAUGCGUGCACCUACCAAGUGUUGGGCACAGUGCUAAGUGAUUUCACAAAAUACUUAUUUAAUCUUCCUGGCAACUCCACUAAAGUAUUUAGGAACUGCUAUAGUUUGAAUGUGCUCCCUCCAAAAUUCAGGUGUUAUCAAUGUGAUAGAAGUAAGAGGUAGGGUCUGUAGGAGGUGAUUAGGCCAUGAGUGUUUCUCUCUCAUUAAUGGGAUUAAGGCCCUAUUAAAAGAGGCUUUGAGCAGCCUCAGGUCAGCUUGCCCUUCUGCUUUCUGCCAUGUGAGGAUGCAGCCAAAAAAGCCCUCACCAGACCAAGGGUCAGCAUCUUGAUUUUGGACUUCCCAGCCUCUAGAACUGUGAAAAUAAAUUUCUGUUCUUUACAAAUUACUCAGUCUCAGGUAUUCUAUUGUAGCAGCAAAGAACAGACUAAGACAGGGGCUCUAUGCAUCCAGUGUAAAGAUGCAGAUUUCCAGGCCCCACUCCAAUUCCUGAGUUACAUUACUGAGCAUGGGGGUCUGAGAACUGCAUUUUUAACAGGACACCCCUUCCCCUCAUGACCCUUUUGCCACCAUGUGCCGUUUUGUUUAACCUGCAUGACCAUUCACGACAGCCUUGCUUGGCGCACUGAAUGUGAGAACCACUGUUUUUUGAGGUAGGAGAUGAAUGGACACCAGCACUCAGAGUCCGGGUCCCCUUUCUCCUUUUCGUCAGCUGCAGAGUCACAGAAUAUAAAAUGUGGCUGCUCUGCAGUUAGGAGCUGACAUCAAAUACAUGUCCACUGGGAAGGGGAGCACUGCCUGCUACACAGAGCUUGGGCCGGAAUGAUUGCUUUUUGCUGACCAUGUAUUAAACACGUUGUCAUAACCCGGGCCCAGGUGGAGGGAGGAGAAGUUGACUUCUUCAUCCCUUGUUGUCUCACUGUCCUCUACCCUGAAGGGGCAGGAUCACCUUGGGCCUGGGCUGCUUAGACAAAGCUUUUCUUCUCUUCCAUAGCCCAUCAUGGGCAUCACUAGUGCCUUCCAGGGACCAAAUAGAAAUAUUUACCCGUGGUCAAAGGGACACAUAGUGACCAGCUAUUUUCUGCCCUGGUUUGACAACAAGGUAAAUGUUAUAAUCUCUCUCACACAGUUAAUGAGAGACACUGAUUCAAAAUUUCCUUGCUACUUUAAAGAACUUGAUCAAACAUAGCAUUGAUAUUGUCUUUAAUCACACUUACUGGACCACGAAAUCCUGGAGGGCCAAUGUCCCCUUUC